GCCUACGGGUGGCAGCAGUAGGGAAUUUUCCGCAAUGGGCGAAAGCCUGACGGAGCAACGCCGCGUGAAUGAGGACGGUCUUCGGAUUGUAAAGUUCUGUUCUGUGGGAAGAAGAAAGUGACGGUACCAUAGGAGAAAGCCCCGGCUAACUACGUGCCAGCAGCCGCGGUAAUACGUAGGGGGCAAGCGUUAUCCGGAAUUAUUGGGCGUAAAGCGCGCGCAGGCGGUUAAUUAAGUCAGAUGUGAAAGGCUACGGCUCAACCGUAGAGUUGCAUUUGAAACUGGUUAACUUGAGUGCAGGAGAGGUGAGUGGAAUUCCCGGUGUAGCGGUGGAAUGCGUAGAGAUCGGGAGGAACACCAGUGGCGAAGGCGGCUCACUGGCCUGCAACUGACGCUGAGGCGCGAAAGCGUGGGGAGCGAACAGGAUUAGAUACCCUGGUAGUCC
rnacentral:rRNA from 1 species